AGUGAACGCUGGCGGCGUGCCUAACACAUGCAAGUCGAACGAGAACGGGUUUAAGUUUACUUAAACUGUCAGCUAAGUGGCGCACGGGUGAGUAAUAUAUAGUUAACCUGCCCCAAAGAAGAGAAUAAUUGUUGGAAACGACUUGUAAUGCUCUAUAUGCCUCUAUUACAUAAGUAAGCGAGGGAAACAUUUAUGGCUUUGGGAUGGGACUGUACGGUAUCAGAUAGUUGGUGAGGUAAUGGCUCACCAAGUCUAUGACGCCUAACUGGUUUGAGAGGAUGAUCAGUCACACUGGAACUAAGACACGGUCCAG
rnacentral:rRNA from 1 species